ACGGAAGGCAGCAGUGGGGAAUAUUGGGCAAUGGGGGAAACCCUGACCCAGCAACGCCGCGUGAAGGAAGAAGGCUUUCGGGUUGUAAACUUCUUUUACCAGGGACGAAGGACGUGACGGUACCUGGAGGAAAAGCAACGGCUAACUACGUGCCAGCAGCCGCGGUAAUACGUAGGUUGCAAGCGUUGUCCGGAUUUACUGGGUGUAAAGGGCGUGUAGGCGGAGAGGCAAGUCAGAUGUGAAAUCCCGGGGCUCAACCCCGGAACUGCAUUUGAAACUGUCUCCCUUGAGUAUCGGAGAGGCAAGCGGAAUUCCUAGUGUAGCGGUGAAAUGCGUAGACAUUAGGAGGAACACCAGUGGCGAAGGCGGCUUGCUGGACGACAACUGACGCUGAGGCGCGAAAGCGUGGGGAGCAAACAGGAUUAGAUACCCUGGUA
rnacentral:rRNA from 1 species